rnacentral:rRNA from 1 species
GAUGAACGCUGGCGGCGUGCCUAACACAUGCAAGUCGAGCGAUUUACUUCGGUAAAGAGCGGCGGACGGGUGAGUAACGCGUGGGUAACCUGCCCUGUACACACGGAUAACAUACCGAAAGGUAUGCUAAUACGGGAUAAUAUGCUUUUAUCGCAUGGUAGAAGCAUCAAGGCUUUUGCGGUACAGGAUGGACCCGCGUCUGAUGAGCUAGUUGGUAAGGUAACGGCUUACCAAGGCGACGAUCAGUAGCCGACCUGAGUGGAUGAUCGGCCACAGUGGAACUGAGAGACGGUCCAAACGCCUACGGGAGGCAGCAGGGGGGAAUAUUGCACAAUGGGCGAAAGCCUGAUGCAGCAACGCGGCGUGAGCGAUGAAGUCCUUCGGGUGGUAAAGCUCUGUCCUCAAGGAAGAAAAUGACUGUACCGGGAGAAUAAGCCCCGGCUAACUCCGUGCCAGCAGCCGCCGUAA